UUUGAUUAUAGCUUAUGUCUUUUAACAAGCAUGCUUUUAAAGUUGCUAUCAAGUGUUUCUCAUCGUAAACACGAUCAACAACUUUGGCUUUCUUUGCGUUUUGCAUGAUAAAAACAACAAAUAUAUUGAUCUUCAAAACCAGGGUUUAGGGUUGACUGUCAUUCGAUGUAUAGAAUUUCACCCCUUUUAUUUGUUUUUUUAAUAUUUCAAUCCUCUUUCAGAAUACUAAUCCAAAUUUAUUAACCAGGUGAUUUUUCACUCAAUCCCGAAGUUCGUAUUUCUCAUAUUGGUGUUGUGUGCAGAUUACUGGUGGUCAGCUUGCUAAAGCAUUGUAUUUAGGUGAAGGUGGGUUGCCGGAUGCAUGUGCAUAUUACUCGAAUAGACGAAGCUAAGAAUGACUUGGUAUUGAGUGAGAAGGAAGCUUGGGAACUGUUAUACCUUUAAGAAGGGAACACUUUUAGAAGGAACUGUCAAGAAAAUCUUUCCGUAUGGAGCCCAAGUGAGGAUAUGAGAAUCUAACAGGAGAAACUUGGAUCGUUGGAUGGAGCACUUGGCCCUUUGGCUUUUAAGGUGAUUUUGGAUUCAAUCCCGAAGUUCCUAUUUCUCGGAUUGGUGUUGUGUGCUCCUUUCUGGUGGUCAAAUUGGUAAAUCAUUGCAUUUUACUAAAAGUAUUUGACCUGCCUAUGCGCCUUUCGUCUCUAAAAUGUUUGAAUAUAGUCGUCUUGGGAGUCUUAGGGGAGUCUUAGUGUGAUCGUUCUUCUAUUUCUUAGAUUCAAACUAUUUUUAAUUUCUCAUUUAAUUGGUGUAGCUUUGCUCAUUUAACAAGAAUUUAAUCAGAUUUGGUCCUCAAAUUUCUCUGAAUUGCUAAAGGAUUUAUUUUCUUUGGAAUUUUCAAAAACUCGGGUCGUGGGAGGAAGAAGCUGGUUCAUAACUGUUUGGAGUCCAGUGGAUUGGUAUCCAUAUCUUAUAAAUAUGUUGGUCAAGACAUAUGUUAGCUUUCAUUUUGCUUUCAUUUUGUUUUUCCAUUUUCGUUUCUUAUAUCUUGCUUUUGGAUCAUAAUACGAAUUCCGGUGUGUGUGAGUGUGUGCAGUGUUUGUGCAUUUCAAAUUCUCAAGCGUGAUGAUAUUGCCUAAACAUGUAGAUUUUACACUGCUUUUGUGCCAUGCAGUACCGACAUUCUAUGUGGCCUCUUAGCUAAUGAUACAAUCACAUUAUAUGAACUUUAAUUAGUUUUCAUGUCACAGUUUCAAUUUCUUUGCUUUGUUUGGAAAUUUGUGGGUUUAUCUUCGGAGCACUUAGUUGAUUUAGCUUACAUUUUAACUAUUGAGGAUUCUUAAUGCAUUUUGGUUUUACAUGGAUUCCAUUUCUGUGAUUGCCACCCUUAGUCGAUGGUAUUAUCUUUACAAUGGAUUUAAAUUGGGGAUUUGGAGAAUCUAAUAACAAAACUGAAUUAUAUGUUCCAUGCUUUUCGUUUUCAUUUUGGGUUAAAAAGUUGGAGCUUUGGAUCAGGAUUUUUCUUUAUUGAACUAUAAUUUUGUGCUUAGGAGACUAUCUGAAACUGCUUAAAUUUGUUUGCAUAGGAACUUUGUUUUUUCUUUUCGAUGUAAUCUGUUUUGUUAAAGGUGAUGAUAAAGAUUUAUCAAUAUUGUUUGUUUGGAGUUAGGUGGAAAUUGGAAGGGAGUAAAUUGUGAUCGUUUAUCCAGCAUUUGAUAAAAUUGGGCAAAUAAUGUUAAUGGUAUGUAGAUGCUUAGGAGAUUGUCUGGGGCUGCUUAAAUUUUAUAUAUUCAAUUGCAUAGAGUCGACCUGACAUACACAACCAUGGUCAGAUUGCCACCCUUAGUUCAUGGUUUGUAGAUGCUUAGGGGAUUGAGAGGUCAUGCUAAGGAGAGUAUAUUACUUGCCACUGAGGAAUAUACUUCAUAUAAUAGCAAUGUGAUGAUGUGUGGCAUGCUUUAACUAAGGGAUAUUUUUGUGUAGUAAGAAAGCCAUAUAGAGUCACAUUUUUGUUUUUGUUUUUUUUUUCUUUCCUGGAUUUGGUAACUGAAAUUUUAUGUGUGAACUACAUGUUUCUUCAGGAAAUAGAACUUUUUUGGAAACCAUCUAUUUCUAAUCAAAGACAUUCAGUUUCUUCCUGCUCAUUGUACAAUGUGUUUAUAUGCCAGCUCACUUGAAUGUAUAUAAAAAAAAAUUGCUUAUCUUAUCAAUCUCAUUCACUCAUGUA